rnacentral:ncRNA from 1 species
ACAAUGAUACUCCUGUCCAGUCACAGUCCGAGCGUGAAAAAACCGUCGCAGGCAAUGAGGGCAGCCGACAGCGAUCCUGCCGGGGGUGAGAUGCCCGUG